GGUGGAGCCUGCGGUUUAAUCGGACUCAACGCCGGGAAACUCACCAGAUAAGACAGCUGAAUGAUAGUCGGGCUGAAGACUCUACUUGACUAGCUGAGAGGAGGUGCAUGGCCGUCGUCAGUUCGUACUGUGAAGCAUCCUGUUAAGUCAGGCAACGAGCGAGACCCACGCCAACAGUUGCCAGCUCGUCCUCCGGGAUGGUGGGGACACUGUUGGGACCGCCUCUGCUAAAGAGGAGGAAGGGAAUGGGCAACGGUAGGUCAGCAUGCCCCGAAUUAACUGGGCUACACGCGGGCUACAAUGGGUGGGACAAUGGGUAUCGACACCGAAAGGUGAAGGCAAUCUCCUAAACCCAUCCGUAGUUCGGAUUGUGGGCUGCAACUCGCCCACAUGAAGCUGGAAUCUGUAGUAAUCGUGUCUCAAAAUGGCACGGUGAAUAUGUCCCUGCUCCUU
rnacentral:rRNA from 1 species